GUAAUUUGUUCGAAACAAACAUUAUAAUUCCAUGUGAGCUGGAAGAACGGGGCAGGGGUUGGCCAAUGGAGGUGUCGUUUCUCCUCUCGAAGGGAAUCCAGCUCCGCUCUUCCUAUCCUCGUCCGACGCUCUGUCGAGUGGGGUAGUUUCUAGCUGGAAGGGUUGAGACUUGGUACCCAAGUUAAAGGCGUAAGAUCUACCGUGUUUUGGACAGUGUCCAUUGUCUUGGAAUAUUUAUUAGAGAAGCCGCCGCCGUCGCAGCGCAGCCGACCAACGCUAAGAUGGCGGUUAUGGCAUAAUGGUGGAUUUAUCGUCGGCAACCAAGACGCCAUUAUGCACCGGGUAGGAACCCCUACGGGAGACUAAACGCGUCUUAGAGCCCUUCUUAGUGACCCUAAAGUGACGCACGGCGCUUGGGAUUGUCUCUCGUGUCUUCUGAGAUUCAUGGAUAGGAUCCUCGUCGGAAAAGGAUUCGUGUCCGUCCGUGAUACUACCCUUGGCAUUUACCACGCGCAACCCCCCUGCCCGUAUAGUUCGUCGAUGACGCAGAGAAAAUGUUUGUUCCAUUGAAUAAUCUCUAAGGGUUUUUAACCCUUUGAUUCGUUAUGAAUUAUCGAUCGAUUGAAUUUGUCGAUUUUGCCCUCUAUCCCUUUUACGGAUCUGUGGGAGAGCCUCGUCGUGACAGCCAUUGGACCAGGUCCGAAAGGAGUCGAUGUAUCAAGAAACGGAAUUCCGAUGAUGAAAUUAUUUUGAACUCUUUCAGCCGUUCGGAAUGGGAAACGCCAUAAGCCCUACGUCAGCCAUAAAAGUCUGAGGCAUUACGAUUGCUGGAUAUCAAAGUGGCUCCGAGGGGAUUGAUGACGUUUGGUUAAACGGAAGAUCAGGCCGAAGAAAGAAAAAGUUCAUUUCCAGGCCAGCUCCGGGUGGCGGGAUACGAAGAAGGAAAAAACAGACUAAGACGAGGAGGAUGAAAAAAGGAAAAAGUGGCUGUCUGUGCCCCC